GACCGUGCGAAGGUAGCAUAAUCAUUAGUUUUUUAAUUGGAGGCUAGAAUGAAUGGUUGGACAAGAAAUAAUCUGUCUUAAUUCAAUAUAUUGAAUUUAACUUUUAAGUGAAAAGGCUUAAAUAAUUUGAAGGGACGAUAAGACCCUAUAAAACUUUAUAUUUAUAAAUGAUAGUUAAUUUUAUUUUAAAAUAUUAUUUUAAAAUAUUUGGUUGGGGUGACAAGGAUAAAAUAAAAAAUAAUUGUCUUUUUUUUAUUUACAGUAAUAUUUGGUUUAAUGAUCCUAAAAAGGAUUAGAAGAUUAAGUUACUUUAGGGAUAACAGCGUAAUUUUCUUUGAAAGUUCUUAUUGACAAGAAAGUUUGCGACCUCGAUGUUGAAUUAAAAGUUCUUUAUAGAGUAGAAACUAUAAUAGAAGGUCUGUUCGACCUUUAAAAUUUUACAUGAUUUGAGUUCAGACCGGUGUAAGCCAGGUUGGUUUCUAUCU
rnacentral:rRNA from 1 species